rfam:Oryza meridionalis cultivar OR44 (W2112) chromosome 2, whole genome shotgun sequence.
AAUAAAUACAGUUUUACACUGUUUAUAUCUAACGUUUGAUUAUUUAUUUUAUUUUAAAAAAAUUAUGAUUAGUAUUUAUAUUGUUAUUAGAUGAUAAAACAUGAAUAAUACUUUACGUGUGACUAUUUUUAAAUUCUUUUAUAAAUUUUUCAAAUAAGACGGACGGUCAAACGUUGGACACGGAUUCUCACGGCUACACUUAUU